AUUGAACGCUAGCGGCAGGCCUAACACAUGCAAGUCGAGCGAGCGACGGACGGGUGAGUAAUGUAUGGGGACCGCCCGAACGAGGGGGAUAACUACUGGAAACGGUAUCUAAUCCCGCAUACUAUCGGAUAAACCAUAUGGUAUUAGCUAGUAGGUGAGGUAAUGGCUCACCUAGUCGACUAUCCCUAGCUGGUCUGAGAGGAUGAUCAGCCACACUGGGACUGAGAAACGGCCCAGAUUCCGACGGAGGCAGAAGUGGGGAAUAUUGCACAAGGGGCGCAAGCCUGAUGCAGCCAUGCCGCGUGUAUGAAGAAGGCCCUAGGGUUGUAAAGUACUUUCAGUCGGGAGGCGUUACCGACAGAGGAAGCACCGGCUAACUCCGUGCCAGCAGCCGCGGUAAUAC
rnacentral:rRNA from 1 species